rnacentral:lncRNA from 1 species
GGGACCCUCCAAUAAUUUAGGUCUACUGGAGCUUGAGAACAGUAGGAGAGAGAGAGAGUAUGAGCUUAGUGUUGCAUGAUGUUGUAUGUCCUUUGAGGAUCUUCAAAUUAUCUCUUUAUAUAAAAGCAGAGUCGUAAGCCAUUUCGUAGGUCAAUAGGCUAGAUCAUGAUAUAUUAGGCUGUGAGGAUAGGAAGUAUAUCCACUAAGGUAUUAGUCAUGGGUGGUGGCCACGUUCUAAUGGUCCAUUGAAAGAUUCCUAAUAGUAGCCCACAUAGCUGAAUAAGCUAGUGACCUG